GUGAAUAAUAUGGAUAGUAUUGUUUUGUCGUUAAAUAUAUUUAAUGGCGGCAAGUAUACAAAGAAGCUAUUAUGGAUUCACAGCUAUAUAUUAAAGAGAGAAUAAAACUUUUAAUUUUGAAAUCACACCUUUUAUGAUUUUUUUUUCUUUUGUUUUUAAUCAUUAAUUUUUAAUGAUGAUAAUAAUAGGAUUAAAAAAGUAAAUGGUCUGUUAGUAGAUGAACUCUAAUUAGAAAUUAAUUCAAAAAAACGAAGUGAAUUGAAAUAUCUUAUUAACUUCAGGAAAACAAAUCAAACGAGAUUCUGCAAGUAGUGAGAAUGAAAGAGGAAUAGCCUAAUUAAGUAAAAUGGAGUACAUAUCUGUUUGAAUAUAAAGGGGAACCUUCCUCUAAGGCUAAAUAUGAUAUAUAAGCGAUAGUUGGAAGUACCGUGAGGGAAAGGAUUGAAAUAGUAGUUUUAUAAGCAGCUCGAGCGAAAUUUAAAUAAACAAUGAGAGCGUACCUUUUGCAUAAUGGGUCAGCAAGUUAAUAUUAGACGCGAGCAGUAAAGCGAAGAUAAACCAAUUAUGAAAUAAUGAUGUAGUAUCUAAUAUUAGACCCGAAGCCUAGUGAUCUUACCAUGAUCAGGGUUAUAAAAGCCCGGACGGUUUAUCGUUGUAAAGAUAUCCGAUGAAUUGUGGUAUGUUGGUGAAAGAUAAUACUGACUAGGAUAGCUGGUUUUCCGCGAAACCUAUAUAAGUAGGUAAUUUAAAUAACAUCAUAGCAGGUACAGAAUUGUGGUCUCAUAUAGCUAACAUGUUUAUGAAAUAGAAAUGUUAUCUGUAGACAUUGGGGGAUCGUGAAGAUUCUAUCAGUGAGUAUUUGUUCUCGGAAGGGCUAAGAUUAAUAUUGAAUAAUCAGACAUAGUACGCAAAGGUUAUUACAGCCUUACAGUAGAGUGAACCUCUUGCUAGUUUUUAUAAUUUUAGUGUUGAUUCUCCGCAAGGAUUAAAUAUAUUAAAAACUUGGCUUUGCCUACAGAUAAUUAUAAAAGCAAUGUAUGUCUAAAGGGAAACAGCCCAGAACAAGAGUUAAUAAGGUUCCAAAAUUAUUGUUAAGUGAAAUAAAAGUAGUAUUUGUCCCAGACAACCAGGAAAUAGGCUUAGAAGCGGCCAUUUUUUGAAGACCUCGUAGCAGAGCACUGGUUUGUAGACUGUUUAUAUGAUUUACAAGGAUAAAGCACUGAAAAUUUAACGGAUCUAAACAAUAUACCGAAACCUUGUCCAUAUAUAUUUAUAUAUCAUAGUAAUAUAUUGUAUUUAUGGGGUAGCGGAACAUUGGGCUAAUCUAAGAUUUUUUCUUUAUAAGACUUAAUAUCAGGUAACCCAAGUGAGAAUGCUGACAUGAGUAACGAUAAAGGGAAUAACUCCCUCGCCUAAAGCUUAUGGUAUUUACUUAAAGUAACGGCCUCUAAGUUUAUGUAGUAGAGUAGUAAAAUAAAGUAACGAAGCUAAAGUAAAUGAAACGACAUUUUUUUUGUUGUUUCACUAACUUUAUAACGCUGUUUUAGUGUAUUACCUAGUCCUUUAGGAUUAAACGAUGAGCAAAUCUAGAGAGUUUACUGGCAAAUAACAUUUAUGCACUUUAAUAUAUAAUUAUGUAUAACUAGUGUAUAAAGAAGGUGAUAAAUGUUCUGGAAAACUGUAAACUCGACAUGAAACUGCAGUAAUGUAUAGUGUGAGUAGUAGAGAGAAAACACGAAAGGAAUUAAACGUUCCAUCAUGUCUAUAUCAACCGUACCUAAAUACUAUCGCAAGUAAGCAAGUAGAGAAUACGAAGGCGUUCGAGUGAACAAUCAUUAAGGAACUCGGCAAAUUAACUCUGUCGUAACUUAGGGAUAAGGUGGGCCAUUCCACUUGAUUAAUAUCAAGGUUGGAAGAGGAGGCACAGAAUGGUGUUGUACGACUGUUUAAUUAAAACAAAGCAUGCUGCAAAGAAAAAAUAAUUCGAAGUAUAGUGUGUGAACUCUGCCCUAUGACGGCUGGGUAUACUAUUUGCUUAAUUGACUAAUAUAAGUUAGGCUUUGAAGGAAACCCCGUUCAAUGGCGGCUUUACAGAUGAGAGUCCUAAGGUAGCGUAAUACCUUGGCCGUUAAAUGCGGUCUUGCAUGAAUGACGUAACGAUACAACAGCUGUCUCAAUGAUUGGCUCGGUGAAAUUGGAAUAACAGUGCAGAUACUGUUUACCUGUAGAUAGACGAGAAGACCCUAUGCAGCUUUACUGUUGCUAGUUAUUGGAUAUGAUAUACCAAGUCUUAGCGUAUAAGGUAGUUGAUUACUGUUUGACUUACAUGUCUUUCAGUCGCGUAAGCGGGGCAUAUGAUCACAAGAUGCAGAAAGGAAAGGUCUUGGAUUAUUGAAAAAGCUACGCUAGGGAUAACAGGCUAAUUGCGCCAGAGAGUUCAUAUUGAGUGCGCAGUUUGGCACCUCGAUGUCGGCUUAGCUCAUCCACAUGGAUGCAACAACCAUGAAGGGUUCGACUGUUCGUCGAUUAAAGAGUUACACGAGCUGGGUUAAAUACGUCGUGAGACAGUAUGGUUUCUAUCUUCUAGAGGAAAUUAGAAUAAAAUAAGGAUAGCCCCUUGUACGUAAGUAAAUGGGUAUAUUAACCUCUGGUUUACCUGCUGUUUAUGUUCCUAUAUUAAUUUAAAUUAUAAGUUUAUAUAAAAAGGACAUUCUUUUUAAUAUGGCUUAUUUUGGGGUUUUACUUUUCACUAUAGUAAUUUUUAACAUAGGCACGGCAGGAAGGCUAUGUUAGUUAAUGAUAAGAGCUGAAUACAUAUAGGCACGAAACUGACCUUUAGAUAUUCUUAAAUAAACGUAGUUUAAUACUACGAUUUUAGGUCCUUAUAGUUUAAAUAUGAAAAUAUUAAACAAGUAUAAUUAAAUAAAAUUAAUCUGGGUUUAAUAUUAUUAUUUUUUACCAUAAAGAUUUUAAUUAAUAGGCUUUAGCUGACAGAAUUGUGACAUUUUUAGGCACUAAGUACUAA
rnacentral:rRNA from 1 species